ensembl:lncRNA
AAGUAUAUUUCUUCAUUGUGACUUAGGAGGGAUUAAAAUAUGGAUUUGCUUUUGAUUACUUCCUCAGGCCCUACUGAAACAUGACUCUUGAACACGUGAGCUUCCUACUACAAAAGACCAAGUGGGUUGGCACCAAAAGACAUGAAAAGAACUAAAGAAUAAGAAUUAGGUCAAAAAGGAAAGCAUAUACUGCUGCUGGUGUCCCCUUUGUGGCUCUAGAGUAAAAGACAUCCUGGUGGACAUUUUCACUUGCUCCUUUUAGGAGCUAGAACAAUGAAACAUCUUGGGAUUUGGAAGAAUUUCACAUGAAACUGCAUGGAAGCAUCAGAGGAAGAACUUUUUGCUUAGUAAAAAAGCUGUGUCCAUAAACAGCACUACAAGAUUGAGCAAUCCCCCCCUCCUAAAAUCACACAGCAAGCCUAUCUUUACACCCAAAGGUCAAACUUCUCCGUUUUGAACUUUGAUGCCUUGUGGAGAAGACAACCUGAUUUCAUAAAGCUCUUUACAACUGCCCUGUGCACUCACUCAUUGCCAGCACAGCAGAGUCCCUGACACCUCUGCUUGGGACCCGAGGAAACUCUCUUGGCAGUCAUGGAUUGUCAGCUGGAAGAGUAGGAGAGUGAACAAACAUGUAGCCGUUGGAACCAGGAGUCAGUGGAUGAGUGAUUCUCUUUCUGCAUCAUGACUGG